rnacentral:tRNA from 2 species
GCGGGGGUGCCCGAGCCAGGUCAAAGGGGCAGGGUUGAGGUCCCUGUGGCGUAGGCCUGCGUGGGUUCAGGCGACGCCGCCCACAAAUCCCACCCCCCGCA